UUAUAACAUUCAUGGAAUAAAUACGUAAAGGUACCGAUUAUGAGAUAGGUUCUAAAUAUGAGAUAGCGUCUUACUGACGACACCGUACAUCUGAAAUGUGUGACGUUUGCGUCAUUUACUUCGUCGGAUAAACAGAUCCAAUUGUGUACCAAUGUGUGCCGGUCAGCGACAGCGAACAGACGAGAACACGCUGAUUUGUCGCGGAAGCAAAAACACGAAUUUUUUCACACUAGAUGCAAGACUGCCAUCAAAAAGUAAAAAGCUGGAAUCUUAGCGCCAUGAUUAAGGCUAUUGAUGCUGUCCGAUCCAAGCAGAUGAGGUGUCAUCGAAUUUCUUUAGAGAAAUCUCUCCUAAAGAAGCUGCAGAAGAUAUCGCCUCGAUUUUUUUUUUAUAUAUUUCCAUGAAUUAAGUUGAAUAAAAAUCUCGAAUGUUUCCCCUAAAUGAUGUUCUAAAAUCCUAAACAAUUACCGAUUUAUUGAUUAUUUAAUUGUAUUGUGUCAUCGCCUCAAUUAGAGCUUUUAUUUCGAAGCUUUUAAUCGUGUUUUUCUUGCAUCGAAGAAAAAAUUUGUAAA